rnacentral:rRNA from 1 species
GAUGAACGCUAGCGGCAGGCCUAAUACAUGCAAGUCGAGGGAGAAUGUUGGAUUCGUCUGACAUGAAACCGGCGCACGGGUGCGUAACACGUAUGCAACCUACCUUUAACUGGGGUAUAGCUCAGAGAAAUCUGAAUUAAUCCCCCAUAAGACUACGACAUGGCAUCAUGAUGUAGUUAAAGCUCCGGCGGUUAAGGAUGGGCAUGCGGUACAUUAGCUAGUUGGUGAGGUAAUGGCUCACCAAGGCUACGAUGUAUAGGGGGUCUGAGAGGAUGAUCCCCCACACUGGUACUGUGACACGGACCAGACUCCUACGGGAGGCAGCAGUAGAGAAUAUUGGUCAAUGGACGCAAGUCUGAACCAGCCAUGCCGCGUGAAGGAGGAAGGCCCUAUGGGUCGUAAACUUCUUUUAUUAGGGAAGAAAAAACGGGAUGCGUCCUGUACUGACGGUACUUAAUGAAUAAGGAUCGGCUAACUUCGUGCCAGCCGCCGCGGUAA